GCGCUCGUGGCGAAAUGGCAGACGCGCAAGCUUGAGGUGCUUGUGGGUAACACCGUGGAGGUUCGAGUCCUCUCGAGCGCA
rnacentral:tRNA from 2 species